UACGUAGGGUGCGAGCGUUGUCCGGAAUUAUUGGGCGUAAAGAGCUCGUAGGCGGUGUGUCACGUCGGCCGUGAAAACCUGCAGCUUAACUGUGGGUGUGCGGUCGAUACGGGCAUCACUGGAGUUCGGCAGGGGAGACUGGAAUCCCUGGUGUAGCGGUGAAAUGCGCAGAUAUCAGGAGGAACACCGGUGGCGAAGGCGGGUCUCUGGGCCGAUACUGACGCUGAGGAGCGAAAGCGUGGGGAGCAAACAGG
rnacentral:rRNA from 1 species